CUUGACCUCAAAUCAGGUAGGACUACC
rnacentral:rRNA from 1 species